CCUACGGGAGGCAGCAGUGAGGAAUAUUGGUCAAUGGACGAGAGUCUGAACCAGCCAAGUAGCGUGAAGGAUGACUGCCCUAUGGGUUGUAAACUUCUUUUAUAAAGAAAUAAGACGAGGCACGUAUACCUUUUUGCAUGUACGUUAUGAAUAAGGAUCGGCUAACUCCGUGCCAGCAGCCGCGGUAAUACGGAGGAGCCGAGCGUUAUCCGGAUUUAUUGGGUUUAAAGGGAGGGUAGAGGGGUUGUUAAGUCAGUUGUGAAAGUUUGCGGCUCAACCGUAAAAUUGCAAUUGAUACUGGCAGGCUUGAGGACAGUUGAGGUAGGUGGAAUUCGUGGUGUAGCGGUGAAAUGCUUAGAUAUCACGAAGAACCCCGAUUGCGAAGGCAGCUCACUAAACUGUGACUGACAUUGAUGCUCGAAAGUGUGGGUAUCAAACAGGAUUAGAUACCCGGGUAGUC
rnacentral:rRNA from 1 species